AGCAGUAGGAAAGGAGAGAGGCCCAAAGUGUGUUAGUGUUGUGUUGGGGCUGUGAAUGAGCCCUGUCACUGUGAUCAGCUUCCUCCUUCUAAUCCACCAACUCAGUGUUGAUGAAGACUACACAGAGAGAUCACAGCCUUCUUUAGACUCAACACUGCACACAUGACGCCUCUGUUCAUCUCAGUGCUGCUGGCUGCUACGAGCCUCGAAUGCAGAGCGCAAAAAGACAACGUGCUGCAACCAGAAGGAGAUGAGACUGCUGCUGAAGGAGAGGCAGUAACACUUGGCUGUCAAUAUAACAGCACUUCAUCUAAUCACUAUCUGUUCUGGUACAAACAGGAUGGAAACAACAGCCCCAAAUUCAUCCUGAGCCGCUUUACAGUCGGCUCGGGGAAAACAGAGGACCAGGAGAGAUUUUCAUCCACACUGAAUUCAGCCUUAAGAUCAGUUCCUCUGAGGAUCCAGAAGCUUCAGCUGUCAGACUCUGCUGUGUACUACUGUGCUCUGCGGCCCACAGUGACAGGAAACACCACAACUCUGUACAAAAACCUUUGGAGCAAAGACAACACAAUACUCCACAACGUCCACUAGAGGGAGUCACACUCUGUUCCACU